CACAUAUUGUGAGCUCGAUGAGUAGGGCGGGACACGUGGUAUCCUGUCUGAAUAUGGGGGGACCAUCCUCCAAGGCUAAAUACUCCUGACUGACCGAUAGUGAACCAGUACCGUGAGGGAAAGGCGAAAAGAACCCCGGCGAGGGGAGUGAAAAAGAACCUGAAACCGUGUACGUACAAGCAGUGGGAGCACGCUUAGGCGUGUGACUGCGUACCUUUUGUAUAAUGGGUCAGCGACUUAUAUUCUGUAGCAAGGUUAACCGAAUAGGGGAGCCGAAGGGAAACCGAGUCUUAACUGGGCGUUAAGUUGCAGGGUAUAGACCCGAAACCCGGUGAUCUAGCCAUGGGCAGGUUGAAGGUUGGGUAACACUAACUGGAGGACCGAACCGACUAAUGUUGAAAAAUUAGCGGAUGACUUGUGGCUGGGGGUGAAAGGCCAAUCAAACCGGGAGAUAGCUGGUUCUCCCCGAAAGCUAUUUAGGUAGCGCCUCGUGAAUUCAUCUCCGGGGGUAGAGCACUGUUUCGGCAAGGGGGUCAUCCCGACUUACCAACCCGAUGCAAACUGCGAAUACCGGAGAAUGUUAUCACGGGAGACACACGGCGGGUGCUAACGUCCGUCGUGAAGAGGGAAACAACCCAGACCGCCAGCUAAGGUCCCAAAGUCAUGGUUAAGUGGGAAACGAUGUGGGAAGGCCCAGACAGCCAGGAUGUUGGCUUAGAAGCAGCCAUCAUUUAAAGAAAGCGUAAUAGCUCACUGGUCGAGUCGGCCUGCGCGGAAGAUGUAACGGGGCUAAACCAUGCACCGAAGCUGCGGCAGCGACGCUUAUGCGUUGUUGGGUAGGGGAGCGUUCUGUAAGCCUGCGAAGGUGUGCUGUGAGGCAUGCUGGAGGUAUCAGAAGUGCGAAUGCUGACAUAAGUAACGAUAAAGCGGGUGAAAAGCCCGCUCGCCGGAAGACCAAGGGUUCCUGUCCAACGUUAAUCGGGGCAGGGUGAGUCGACCCCUAAGGCGAGGCCGAAAGGCGUAGUCGAUGGGAAACAGGUUAAUAUUCCUGUACUUGGUGUUACUGCGAAGGGGGGACGGAGAAGGCUAUGUUGGCCGGGCGACGGUUGUCCCGGUUUAAGCGUGUAGGCUGGUUUUCCAGGCAAAUCCGGAAAAUCAAGGCUGAGGCGUGAUGACGAGGCACUACGGUGCUGAAGCAACAAAUGCCCUGCUUCCAGGAAAAGCCUCUAAGCAUCAGGUAACAUCAAAUCGUACCCCAAACCGACACAGGUGGUCAGGUAGAGAAUACCAAGGCGCUUGAGAGAACUCGGGUGAAGGAACUAGGCAAAAUGGUGCCGUAACUUCGGGAGAAGGCACGCUGAUAUGUAGGUGAAGUCCCUUGCGGAUGGAGCUGAAAUCAGUCGAAGAUACCAGCUGGCUGCAACUGUUUAUUAAAAACACAGCACUGUGCAAACACGAAAGUGGACGUAUACGGUGUGACGCCUGCCCGGUGCCGGAAGGUUAAUUGAUGGGGUCAGCGCAAGCGAAGCUCUUGAUCGAAGCCCCGGUAAACGGCGGCCGUAACUAUAACGGUCCUAAGGUAGCGAAAUUCCUUGUCGGGUAAGUUCCGACCUGCACGAAUGGCGUAAUGAUGGCCAGGCUGUCUCCACCCGAGACUCAGUGAAAUUGAACUCGCUGUGAAGAUGCAGUGUACCCGCGGCAAGACGGAAAGACCCCGUGAACCUUUACUAUAGCUUGACACUGAACAUUGAGCCUUGAUGUGUAGGAUAGGUGGGAGGCUUUGAAGUGUGGACGCCAGUCUGCAUGGAGCCGGCCUUGAAAUACCACCCUUUAAUGUUUGAUGUUCUAACGUGGACCCGUGAUCCGGGUUGCGGACAGUGUCUGGUGGGUAGUUUGACUGGGGCGGUCUCCUCCUAAAGAGUAACGGAGGAGCACGAAGGUUGGCUAAUCCUGGUCGGACAUCAGGAGGUUAGUGCAAUGGCAUAAGCCAGCUUGACUGCGAGCGUGACGGCGCGAGCAGGUGCGAAAGCAGGUCAUAGUGAUCCGGUGGUUCUGAAUGGAAGGGCCAUCGCUCAACGGAUAAAAGGUACUCCGGGGAUAACAGGCUGAUACCGCCCAAGAGUUCAUAUCGACGGCGGUGUUUGGCACCUCGAUGUCGGCUCAUCACAUCCUGGGGCUGAAGUAGGUCCCAAGGGUAUGGCUGUUCGCCAUUUAAAGUGGUACGCGAGCUGGGUUUAGAACGUCGUGAGACAGUUCGGUCCCUAUCUGCCGUGGGCGCUGGAGAACUGAGGGGGGCUGCUCCUAGUACGAGAGGACCGGAGUGGACGCAUCACUGGUGUUCGGGUUGUCAUGCCAAUGGCACUGCCCGGUAGCUAAAUGCGGAAGAGAUAAGUGCUGAAAGCAUCUAAGCACGAAACUUGCCCCGAGAUGAGUUCUCCCUGACCCUUUAAGGGUCCUGAAGGAACGUUGAAGACGACGACGUUGAUAGGCCGGGUGUGUAAGCGCAGCGAUGCGUUGAGCUAACCGGUACUAAUGAACCGUGAGGCUUAACCUU
rnacentral:rRNA from 1 species